GAUGAACGCUGGCGGCGUGCCUAAUACAUGCAAGUCGAGCGAACAGACGAGGAGCUUGCUCCUCUGACGUUAGCGGCGGACGGGUGAGUAACACGUGGAUAACCUACCUAUAAGACUGGGAUAACUUCGGGAAACCGGAGCUAAUACCGGAUAAUAUAUUGAACCGCAUGGUUCAAUAGUGAAAGACGGUUUUGCUGUCACUUAUAGAUGGAUCCGCGCCGCAUUAGCUAGUUGGUAAGGUAACGGCUUACCAAGGCAACGAUGCGUAGCCGACCUGAGAGGGGGAUCGGCCACACCGGAACUGAGACACGGUCCAGACUCCUACGGGAGGCAGCAGUAGGGAAUCUUCCGCAAUGGGCGAAAGCUUGACGGAGCAACGCCGCGUGAGUGAUGAAGGUCUUCGGAUCGUAAAACUCUGUUAUUAGGGAAGAACAAAUGUGUAAGUAACUAUGCACGUCUUGACGGUACCUAAUCAGAAAGCCACGGCUAACUACGUG
rnacentral:rRNA from 1 species